rnacentral:rRNA from 1 species
CAGCCGUAAACUAUGCGCGUUAGGUGUAUCGGUGACCACGAGUCACCGAGGUGCCGAAGGGAAACCGUGAAACGUGCCGCCUGGGAAGUACGGUCGCAAGGCUGAAACUUAAAGGAAUUGGCGGGAGCACCACAACGGGUGGAGCCUGCGGUUUAAUUUGGACUCAACGCCGGGAAGCUCACCGGAUAAGACAGCGGAAUGAUUGCCGGGCUGAAGACUCUGCAUGACUAGCUGAGAGGAGGUGCAUGGCGUAGACGUCU